UACGUAGGGGGCUAGCGUUGUCCGGAAUCAUUGGGCGUAAAGCGCGUGUAGGCGGUCCGGUAAGUCCGCUGUGAAAGUCGGGGGCUCAACCCUCGGAUGCCGGUGGAUACUGUCGGGCUUGAGUACGGAAGAGGAGAAUGGAAUUCCUGGUGUAGCGGUGAAAUGCGCAGAUAUCAGGAAGAACACCCGUGGCUAAGGCGGUUCUCUAGUACGGUACUGACGCUGAGACGCGAAAGCGUGGGGAGCGAACAGG
rnacentral:rRNA from 1 species